CUCAAGGCUUAUAAGAUUUAAUGCAGUAGCUGUGGCACAGAGACCUAGGGCUUCACACUGACCUGAGUCUGUUAUUCCUUAGGUGGACAAGAGAAAAUUACCUCACAGUACCCACUGUCAAACUGGUUUGAUUUCAGAGAGACAGCAGACCUGACAUCCCUAUCCACUGUUCAUCUGAAGAUAAUGAAUCUCCACUGGUCUGUUUCCUGAAGUAGUAGCACUAAACUAGAAGUCAGGAAAAAAUCCAAACUACUGCCAGACGAGCAAGGUCUACCCGCAUCAGCUAAACAACAUCAUACAAUCAUUUGUGUGAUGAUCCUGCAUUAGCAACUACAUGGCAGAACAAAGUCGAAAACGUCGGUGGGCAGAGACGACCUCUGACAGCAUCAAAAUGCCAAAGACAACAUUGUCACUGGUGUUGCCCCCCGACAACGAGAAAUGGGAAGCGAAGCACUUGUGUCACUACCUGCAAACCUGUCAAAAAACAGUUAAAGACAAAAAGAUCACUGUUGCCAUGUUGAAAAAUCUCACAGAUGCUAAGCAGAGAGAACUAGGCAUGAGUAUCACUGAAGAAAAGAGCAAAGAACAAGGCAAGGU